rnacentral:rRNA from 1 species
CCCUUAGAUGUUCUGGGCUGCACGCGCGCUACACUGAUGCAUCCAACAAGUUUUCUCCCUUGUUCGGUAGGACUGGGUAAUCUUUUGAGUAUGCAUCGUGAAGGGGAUAGAUUAUUGCAAUUAUUAAUCUUCAACGAGGAAUGCCUAGUAGGCGCAAGUCAUCAGCUUGCGUCGAUUACGUCCCUGCCCUUUGUACACACCGCCCGUCGCUCCUACCGAUUGGGUGUGCUGGUGAAAUGUUCGGAUCGGCCGUUUGUCGCGGUUUCCGCGUCAUGUGGCUGAGAAGUUCAUUAAACCCUCCCACCUAGAGGAAGGAGAAGUCGUAACA